GACGAACGCUGGCGGCGUGCUUAACACAUGCAAGUCGAACGGCAAGGCCCUGCUUUUGUGGUGUGCUCGAGUGGCGAACGGGUGCGUAACACGUGAGUAACCUACCCUUCACUUUGGGAUAACUUAAGGUAACUGGGGUUACUCCCGGACAGGAUCUCCUGUUGCAGGGUGGGGGUUGGAAAGUUUCGGCGGGUGGGGAUGGACUCGCGGCUUAUCGACUAGUUGGUGGGCUAGUGGUUUACCAAGGCUUUGACGGGUCGCCGGCCCUUGAGGGUGACCGGCCACAUUGGGACUGAGAUACGGCCCAGACUGGUACGGGAGGCAGCAGGGGGGAAUAUUGCACAAUGAGCGGAAGUCGGAGGCGGAAACGCUGCGUGCGGGAUGCCGGCCUGCGGGGUGAAAACCGCUUCCGCUUAUUACGCAGCUGGAGUGACGGUAAUGAGUAAAGAAGCACCGGCUAACUACGUG
rnacentral:rRNA from 1 species